UUUAGAUUUGCCUUCCAUGCUUUGCCCCUUCCCCUUCCCAUCUUCUCUUGAAGUUACCUAGAUUGCGUCUAUUAUUUGAAUGACUCGUACAAAAGAGAUGCUAUUUAUCGAGCAAAAGCCGGGAGUUCGUGCCUUCUACGCCCGCAAGGAAAACUACAACUCCCAUGAGGACACGGCAACAGAUUUAACACUUUGUGAAUCUUGAAGAGCUGCACUCCUCCUAAAUAUUGCAGUUAAUGCUGAUCCUUUGGAAGCCUCCGAAGGCCACAAGACUGUGAUGGGAGCCUCUGGCUU
rnacentral:lncRNA from 1 species